UUGAACGCUGGCGGCAUGCCUUACACCUGCAAGUCGAACGGUAACAGGUCUUCGGAUGCUGCCGAGUGGCGAACGGGUGAGUAAUACAUCGGAACGUGCCCGAUCGUGGGGGAUAACGAGGCGAAAGCUUUGCUAAUACCGCAUACGAUCUACGGAUGAAAGCGGGGGAUCUUCGGACCUCGCGCGGACGGAGCGGCCGAUGGCAGAUUAGGUAGUUGGUGGGAUAAAAGCUUACCAAGCCGACGAUCUGUAGCUGGUCUGAGAGGAUGAUCAGCCACACUGGGACUGAGACACGGCCCAGACUCCUACGGGAGGCAGCAGUGGGGAAUUUUGGACAAUGGGCGAAAGCCUGAUCCAGCCAUGCCGCGUGCAGGAUGAAGGCCUUCGGGUUGUAAACUGCUUUUGUACGGAACGAAAAGCCUCUUUCUAAUAAAGAGGGGUCAUGACGGUACCGUAAGAAUAAGCACCGGCUAACUACGUG
rnacentral:rRNA from 1 species